GCUGGGAAGCCUUCGGGUGUCCCAGAACUCACUGGCAAGGAUCCCUCUCUGAACACAGCAUUUUGGGAACCCCUUCAGUAGGAGUCCUCAUUGUUUUCAGCAUCAGAGGACUCAUAUGGGCAAACAUCCUGUGAAUGUAAUCUGUGCAGACAAAUGACCAGCCUUAACUCUCAAUAACUGUGAUCAUAUGGAAAUGGUAGCUCCUUCCUGUUGUGUCACUGCUUCCUGGUCCAGUUCCUGACACAGUAUAGGUGCUCAGUAAUUAUUUGUUGAGUGUA
rnacentral:lncRNA from 1 species